GACGAACGCUGGCGGCGUGGAUUAGGCAUGCAAGUCGAAACGGUAGGAUACCUUCGGGUAGUCUGAGAGUGGCGAACGGGUGAGUAACACGUAGGUGAUCUACCCUCAAGAUUGGGACAACCCAGGGAAACUUGGGCUAAUACCGGAUGAAAGCAGCAGUGAUGUUGUUUGAAAGGUGGCGUAAGCUGCCGUUUGGGGAUGAGCCUGCGCUCUAUUAGUUAGUUGGCGGGGUAAAGGCCCACCAAGGCGAUGAUAGAUAGGCGGCCUUAACGGGUGGUCGCCCACACUGGGAUUGAGAUACGGCCCAGACUCCUACGGGAGGCAGCAGUCGAGAAUAGUCUACAAUGGCCGAAAGGCUGAUAGUGCGACGCCGCGUGAACGAAGAAGCCCUUCGGGGUGUAAAGUUCUUUUAUAUGUGAGCAGUGCUUUCUAUGUGAACAGCAUGGGGAGAGAGAUAUUAGCAUAUGAAUAAGCAACGGCUAACUCCGUG
rnacentral:rRNA from 1 species